rnacentral:lncRNA from 1 species
AAACUUUUAAAUUUAAACACAAUUUUUCGUUUAUACUAUACACAUCUGAAAAAUCAUGGUUAAAAUUCUCAAAUUUGUAUUUACAAUAUUUUUUCUAAUAGCUAUUUUUUCUGAAGUAUGUGGUAAGACUUAUUUUCUUAUAUUACUGUUCUUAUACAUAAUUUUUUUAUGCAAAUUUAGUGGCAUUAAUGUAUUCUGGUUUUACAUGACAGCAUUUGGUGAAUACUGCAGUUCUGAUUCUGAAUGUCCAAAAUUGUGUCAUCCUCCCAAGAAUGUAACGCACUGCUUUUGGAAUCAUUGUUUUUGUGUAAAGUAGUUGAGUAUUGAAAAUUAUUAUUUAAUUUUAAGAAUAUAAUUUAAUUAUCAGCAAAGAUAUAUCGAACACUUCAUUUUAAUAUUCCUUAUAGUUUUUGUCAAUCACAAAAGCACAUUAAAUAUAUCGAAUACAAAUUUUAAUUUUUUUAAAUUUUAAUAAUAAAAUUUAUAUAAAAAUAUAAGACAAACAAAUAAUAAACUG